UACGGGGGGGGCAAGCGUUGUUCGGAAUUACUGGGCGUAAAGGGCUCGUAGGCGGCCAACUAAGUCGGAUGUGAAAUCCCCAGGCUCAACUUGGGAACUGCAUCCGAUACUGGAUGGCUUGAAUUCGGGAGAGGGAUGCAGAAUUCCAGGUGUAGCGGUGAAAUGCGUAGAUAUCUGGAGGAAUACCGGUGGCGAAGGCGGCAUCCUGGACCGACAUUGACGCUGAGGAGCGAAGGCUAGGGGAGCAAACGGG
rnacentral:rRNA from 1 species